rnacentral:rRNA from 1 species
GGAAUCUUGCGCAAUGGGCGAAAGCCUGACGCAGCGACGCCGUGUGGGUGAUGAAGGCCUUCGGGUCGUAAAGCCCUGUCAGGGGGGACGAAAUCUCAGCGACCUAAUACGUCGUUGACUUGACGGUCCCUCCAAAGGAAGCACCGGCUAACUCCGUCCCAGCAGCCGCGGUAAUACGGAGGGGGCGAGCGUUGUUCGGAAUCACUGGGCGUAAAGCGCGUGUAGGCGGCCUUCUAAGUUUGAUGUGAAAGCCCGGGGCUCACCCCCGGAAGUGCAUUGGAUACUGGAAGGCUGGAGUACCGGAGAGGAGGGUGGAAUUCCCGGUGUAGCGGUGAAAUGCGUAGAUAUCAGGAGGAACACCUGUGGCGAAGGCGGCCCUCUGGACGGAUACUGACGCUGAGACGCGAAAGCUGGGGGAGCA